CCUCACGGGGCAGCAGGCAUGGGCAAAGCAGAAUCCGAGAGUCCCCGCAGUUUCUGCUCGUCUCAGCGGCAACAACACAGGCCGCACGCAGCCUCAAAAUAUCGAACGCCUUCAGGCUUCGUUCAUUUUUUUAUUUAUUUAUUUUACUUAAGCCGUUCCUACGCGCCUUUCUAUUGUCAGUGCUGUCACAGCUGUCUUGUUUGCGCAACAACGGGGGUCUAUCCCCUUUCUUUCCCCUGUCGUGAUAUCUCGAGGCAUCUGUCUUCCUAUGACAAGCAACAACUCUGAGGACGCACGCACAGCUAGAGGCGCCGGCGAGACGGCUACGGUGACGCAGAAACCUCCGAAUAUAUACGGCACGCCCAACUCCCACCCCGACGCAGCAGGUCCCGAUUCAUGGCGCGUCAAGGACAACAGACAUCGGAGGACAUCGCUACCAUGAUUCCUCGAAAGCCAACGACCCGGAGUGAUCACGCGCCAACGCGAGCUGCAACUUUCGGACCAGAAAGGAAAAAAAAGGAUCUGCGACUGGCCGCCGUAAAUCAGCGCCUUCGACCACCCAUGCACAGCGUCGUCAACCGAGAGGAAGUUGGAAGCCAUCUUACAGGAUUCCGGAUACUGCUUUCCCGUGAGAAGCCAACGCGGGCCACAAGGCGUCUCGCUCAGCG
rnacentral:lncRNA from 1 species